rnacentral:rRNA from 1 species
GAUGAACGCUGGCGGCGUGCCUAAUACAUGCAAGUCGAGCGAACAGACGAGGAGCUUGCUCCUCUGACGUUAGCGGCGGACGGGUGAGUAACACGUGGAUAACCUACCUAUAAGACUGGGAUAACUUCGGGAAACCGGAGCUAAUACCGGAUAACAUGUUGAACCGCAUGGUUAAACAGUGAAGGACGGUUUUGCUGUCACUUAUAGAUGGAUCCGCGUCGCAUUAGCUAGUUGGUAAGGUAACGGCUUACCAAGGCAACGAUGCGUAGCCGACCUGAGAGGGUGAUCGGCCACACUGGAACUGAGACACGGUCCAGACUCCUACGGGAGGCAGCAGUAGGGAAUCUUCCGCAAUGGGCGAAAGCCUGACGGAGCAACGCCGCGUGAGUGAAGAAGGUCUUCGGAUCGUAAAACUCUGUUAUUAGGGAAGAACAAAUGUGUAAGUAACUAUGCACGUCUUGACGGUACCUAAUCAGAAAGCCACGGCUAACUACGUG